rnacentral:lncRNA from 1 species
UCUCUUUGGUUUGCUCAGAUUUACCUUCUAGUGAUGAUGUUGACCUUUUGAGGCUAGUUUUUGGAGGUCGUCUCAUAGGUCUCACCUCAUGUUUGUGGCUUUGGUUUAGUUUCCACUUUAAUUUAAAUGCUUAAAGACUUGUUGUUCAAAAAGAAUGACAUAGAAUAACAGAUAAGGUUUAAAAGCUUUUUACUAUGAGAAUUGUGAGUACUGUUUGAGAAUGUUGUUUAUGACUCCUGUUGUUUGCC